UUGUUAAUUUAUUACAUAGAGUUAACCCAAGAGCUAUGUAGCUCUUGUCAAUGGAAUUCAAGAGUACAGAAGGGUCAUUUGAUGAUCGUUGAGUCUUUUAAGAAUGCUACACGAGAUAGUGGAUUUGAAAUAAUUUUGUUAAGGGCCCUACUGUUUAUUUUUGCCACAAAAAAUAAAAAGGUAUACACUAACCAGUUGGUGUAGAGAAUUAAUUGCUAAAUAAUUUAUGUCAAAGUCCUUAAUAUACUAUACUAAUUAAUACAAUCCACUGUGCUCUAGCUAGUUUUAAUCCUUUGGUGAAGAAGAUUUUGACAAUAAAACAGAAAGCCACGUAGGUUCAUAAAAUAUGUCUGACAUUUUCUGAACUGGGGAAUAGGACCCACUUGUCAUUCCUACUAUUGUCUCAGUAUCUCUUUGAAGUGCAAAAACAUUGUGAUUUCAAAAGCAGUCGAGGAAGAUGCCAUCUGCAGCUUCUGACAAGCUCUGGAGGUGUAGCCAAAUAUGGAGCAUGUCACUAGGUGGUAGGUUUGCUAGGGAUCUGACAUGAUUGACUUUUCUUUCUUAAAGACAAUUAAAAUUUAUGUACAAUAAAUUGUUUCAACUGGCACUUGCUUUUAAAACUCAAACUCCAUGUAUGUCUUGCUAAAAAGUGAUUCUGCAAUGCAAAUGUCAUUUGUUGGAGAAGAAAAGAAAGCUGGAUGCUUGUUUGGAAGCUUAGUAGGCAGGAGAGAAAAGUUGUUCCAUAAAGGAACCGACCUUCUAUGGAAUGUUUCUGCUCUGUGAUAUAGCUCUACCCUUGUGCAUAUAUGGAAUUUGCUGUGUUGACCUAACAUGCCUUCUAUACAUCUCUCUCGGCUAGUUCUCUUUAUCUAGUAACUGAGUGUGGAAUACUUGGAGCAAGAUUUUCUUCCAGUGAAGGGAUUUGCCUCCUAGGAGUGGAGUCCACACAAUGCCAAACUAAUUCUGCACUAGGGGCAAAAGGAAGACAGGGCCCCUUAUCUCUGUGAGCCGGCCUUAGAGAAAGAAGAGACAUUCGCAACAUGGUCUAACUUCUCUGAAGUCAAGGAUGCCUUCAAAAUGAAAGUUUGGGCCACUGGGGGAGGGAGCGCAGGAAGGGAGACCACAGGGAGGAGGAAAAGAAUUGUAAACAAAGGGACAGCUGGGGAUUGGCCCAUUCUUUCUGAGCAUUUGUGGAGCUUCUUUAGAGCCAGUGAAGAAAGUAAAAUCCAGAGGCAACUUUUAAAAAAUGCCAUUUAAUGUCUGACUUCUUAAGCCUACCUGCAUAAAAAUAAAGAUAAAAGAAAUAAUGCAAGCUAGGUGCCUAGGUUCUAACCCAAUUCAGUUUUCACUUAUGUUUAUUUUGUAAAAAGGUACCGUUACAUUCUCUAUUUGGCAGUGCUGGGUGUUCAGGACAUGGUACUCCAAAAUACUGCACCUUGGCAUUUGAAAAAGCAGUAGAAGCAAGCAGGUCAUUCUCACCCUGCCCAUGUUCUUCCCCUGAUGCAGGUACUUCUCAUGUGUUGGCAGAUGAGGGGGAAGAUAAUGAUGCAACAUUGAAGGCCUGAAAUAAUUGAACCCUCUUUUUUCCUCAGAAUAAAAAAAUGUAUAUGUGGUGUAUUCAUUUAUUUGUGUUGUUAUACUGUUGGCACUAUAUAUUUGAGGCUUGAAUAAAAUUUACGUAAUCAGAAAAAAAAAUUAUUAAAAUAUAAAGGAAAUUUCCAAGUGAUGACUAUGAACAAUUUGUUAAUCCAUGGAAAUGUACCUGAUUUUAAGUCAAACAAAUCAUAUUCACUGCAUUAACAGACAUAAGAUGAUGGUUAAGGAAAUAAAAAUGGAGAGAGGCCAAGGAUGAAAUUGAACAUGUGGCACACAUUGCCACUGUGUGUCUCUGGCUGGUCUAUCAGCCAUCGCAAAUAUGCAUGUCUUGGGUGUGACAAACUGUUACAGAGAAGAUACUAAGUGCUGAACAGAUUCUGCCUUAUAUAGCAAAGACAUUUUAUUGCAGUCUUGGAGCCAAUAUAGUCUGAUUUUUUGAAGACUUAACACACCCACAAUUUAAGCAGGCCCGAGGGAUGCACGUGGUGAGACAUCAAGCCCAAGGCAAUUUAUUGGCAGAAUUAAAUUCUGGCUAAUUUCUUUAGUGCCAGAGUGUCCAGUGCUCUCAUUAACUGCACUAGUUACCAAUGGAAAAUUUGUCUUUCAGUGUAGGGCACUUUGCUGAAGUGGAGCCAGCCUCUUGAGAAGUGCCUGGAAGAUUGGUUUGGAGUAUUCUGAAGUGGUUUGGGGCUGCCCAGAGACUCAUGGGCAUGGUACAGGGACUCCUGUCAGGGACUCCUUUGGCCUCGUAGGUAGGUUCUGAAAUGAGACCUUGUGCUCCUGCCAGGCCCCAUAGCUAAGACAGCUUUCGUGUGUGUUAUUGUGUGGGAAAAUGAGGUUGAGCUCCACAGCUCCCCUCCCAAUCACUGGGAGAGGAAUGUGAAAAGCAGAGCAGGGGACCUGGAGGAAGAGUGCAUAGUGAUAGAAGCACAAAGGCAGGAGAUGGUUCUGGAAAAGACUCCAGUCACAGUCACUUCCAGGGCAGGAGAAGCCAUAGUCAAGGGUAAUUGCAAGCCAGAGAGCAUGCGAUUUAAUGAGAGUUCAGGCAUCUUGGGAAAGUGUAAAGAAGUGAGAUGAUUGGGACAGGAGGUAAAGAUGUCAAGGUUUGCUGCAGUGAAGUGCAGGAAGGGUAAGCUGGGGUGUGAUGGGGUAGGAGGUAAAAUCAAAAUGCCUUUGGAUUUACAGGGUGAGUGGUUAUCAUGCAAUGCAGAAUUUUAGAAUGUUCUCUAUGAUGACUUUUGGGUUUUUACUCAACGAACUCCCAUUAUCCUAUUGUGU